CGUGUUCAGGGACGACACAGGUGCUCAGGAACGAGCGCCCAAAAUGGAUAUCGCAGUGACGCGAUUCAUCAGGACGAUGACAGGGAUAAAAGGGACAGGGAAAGGUGGGCGGCUCAUUACCGCCCCUUUUUUU
rnacentral:sRNA from 1 species